AACGUUAUUGCAUUAAAAAUUAAAUAAAAAAUCAACUAUUUUCGGAAUUGGUAUAAUAACAUCAGAUAAAGUAAAAACUUAUAAACUGGAUUGCAGGCGUUAACAUAACUCCAAAGUAGGAACCACUACCAUUCUUAUGCAAGAGAAAAAAUAAUCCAACCAAAAAUAACCAACAGAUUAGUAAGCAAGUACUUACUCCUUUAACGCAAAAAAAGAUAAACAAAACAACUUUUAUGCAUACAAAGCACAAGGUAUUGAUUGUCUAUGCAUACAAAGCUCAAGGUAUUGAUUGUCUGUCUGCAAAUUGUUUUAGGAAGAAAAGAUUCAAAUGUUUUUUUUCAAUGCUUCAGUAGUUUACACAUUUUAUUUGUUGCUAAAUAAUAUAUUUUAUUCAUUUUAUGAGUGUUUUAAAAUUAUUUUUUUAUUGUUGACUUUUUUUUUGACAUUGCUGAUCUAAAUAUCUUAAAGAUAUUUAGAUCAGCAAUGACAAGAUUUUCCUGAGGAAGGAGAGGAUUUUUAUAUAGUCCAAAUCCAAGAUGGUGCAUGUGUUUUUCCGCAGAAAAGAAAAAAGUUGUUUUGCCUCAUAAGAAAAGCUACUAAAAAAGAUUCCUCAUCAAAUGGAAAGUCUUCCAUUACGGAGGAAGAAUAUAUAAUAGAAUUUCAGAAGAAAGUUUUAUAUGCACUGGUAGAAAUGAUAAAGAUGGAUUAUGAUAACAGUUUAAACGGGUGUUGUCUGAAAUGAGAGCGUCAUGUCAAUUAAAGCGACUACUACAGUUGCCGAAAUAAGAAAAGGAAUAAUGACUUUAUUAAAAUACGCAUUUGACAGAUCGAAUGGUGGUGGUUAGCGCGUGAAAGGCGAUUCACUAGAUGUAUAACAUUUUUUCCUAAUUGUUCUGGACUAUUGUUGAAUAAAACAUUUUUUUUUAAACAUUUUACUCUAUUUGCAUUGUGUGUAAAGUCCCUUAAAGCAACUUAAUUGUAUCUGAUUAAUUUACUUGAAAUAAAAUAUUCUUUGUGCAGAA